CGCGUAGGCGGUCUGAUAAGUGGGAUGUGAAAGCCCCGGGCUUAACCUGGGAACUGCAUUCCAAACUGUCAGACUAGAGUAUGGUAGAGGGUGGUAGAAUUUCCUGUGUAGCGGUGAAAUGCGUAGAUAUAGGAAGGAAUACCGAUGGCGAAGGCAGCCACCUGGACCAAUACUGACGCUGAGGUGCGAAAGCGUGGGGAGCAAACA
rnacentral:rRNA from 1 species